GAUGAACGCUAGCGGCAGGCCUAAUACAUGCAAGUCGAACGAGAUUAAGAGGCUUGCUUCUUAUGAAAGUGGCGCACGGGUGCGUAACGCGUAUGCAACCUACCUUAAUCAGGGGGAUAGCCCGAAGAAAUUCGGAUUAAGACCGCAUAAAAACACAGGAUAGCAUUAUCCAAUGUUCAAAUAUUUAUAGGAUUAAGAUGGGCAUGCGUGUCAUUAGCUAGUUGGCGGGGUAGCGGCCCACCAAGGCGACGAUGACUAGGGGAUCUGAGAGGAUGACCCCCCACACUGGUACUGAGACACGGACCAGACUCCUACGGGAGGCAGCAGUAAGGAAUAUUGGUCAAUGGAGGGAACUCUGAACCAGCCAUGCCGCGUGCAGGAAGACAGCCCUCUGGGUCGUAAACUGCUUUUAUUCGGGAAUAAACCUUUCUACGUGUAGGAAGCUGAAUGUACCGAAGGAAUAAGGAUCGGCUAACUCCGUG
rnacentral:rRNA from 1 species